rfam:Oryza sativa (indica cultivar-group) chromosome 8, whole genome shotgun sequence.
AAUAAGUGUAGUUUUAGACCGUUCAUGUUCAACGUUUGAUCGUUCGUCUUAUUUAAUUUUUUUUAUAAUUAUUAUUUUUAUUAUUAUUAGACGAUAAAACAUGAAUAUAAAUUUAUAUGUGACUAAUUAUUUUUAAUUUUUUAAUAAAUUUUUAAAAUAAGAUGGACGGUUAAAUGUUAGAUACGGAUACUCACGACUGUACUUAUU